AUCCAUUCUGAUGGGGGUAGUGGUGUCCACAUCCAGUGCCUGCGAUGUACAGAGCUGCAGUUUCCACACUUCGCAGUCGUGACUAGUUAUUGAUCCCACCAAAAUUCAAAUAUGAUUGUCAGGAAGUAUUCUAGUUGAAGAAAAAAAAUUAAACCAAAGCAAAGAAGAAUGAAAGAAGUUUAAAAAUCUCAAAAAGUCUUUUGUUAUCUCAUAGUAAAAGUUCUGAUGGUCUAAAUCAUGAAGACAAGGAAAAGAAUCAGGAUAUCCAAGAAAAUAUGAAACAUGCAAAUGCAGCAACAUUGAAAAAGAAAAUAAUGAGAAUGAGCAAAUUUUUAAAUAGGAACUUAAAAAUUGAUUUGAGGAAUAAAGAAAAACACAACUUAUAUGAAGAUCAGUGACAACCUGGUUAAUGAGAAUUGUCAACAUAAAGAGCAUUUAAGAUUAGGAACUGGGGUCAGCCCCAUGGCCAAGUG
rnacentral:lncRNA from 1 species